AGCGUAUCCAUAUUGACUGAGUGUAUUAAAUACGUAGGAUAUUAUAAUUACUAUUUUAAAAUUGUAUUAAAAAAUAAAUAUAAUAGUUUUUUUAUAAAUAAUAAUUAAAAUUAAGUAAAGGAGAUUUAUAGAACAACGAUUAAAUGUAGUUACACUAUAUAGCUCACCAUAAACUCAGGUGCUUUGCUAAUUUUAAUUUUAUCUGAUGUAUGAAAGUACGGGUAUCGAUAAGGAUUAGUUUCCCUAGUAGUCCGUACUGUAAAAGAUGAAUACUUUAUGAAUUUUAAAUUCAGGAAUAGCUAACGCAAAGUAUUCUACUCGGGGAGUAUUAUCGCAAGAUUAAAACUUAACUGAAUUGGCGGGAAUUUGUUCGAACGGUGGAACAUGUGGUUUAAUGCGAUAAUCCACGCAAAAUCUUACCAAUGUUUUAGGCUCUAUUAGUAAUAUAGUUAACACUAAAAUUAAUUAAUAAAGUACGGAAUUGCAUGGCUGUCGUCAGUUCGUGCUGUGAAGUUUAGGAUUAAGUUCUUUUUAACGAAUGCAACCCUAUAAAUAAGUUUUUAUUUAUUAUUAACUUUAUAUAAUAAAUAUUCUUAUUUAAUCUAUAAUUAAAUAUAUUAGAAUCUAUUCUGUAUAUUUGAAUAUAGGGGUUUUAGGCUGAAGUCAAGUCCCUAUGGUCUUUAUACGUUGGGCUACACACGUGUUACAAGGAUAAAAACAAAGAGACGCAACAGAGUAAUCUAGAGCAGACCUCUAAAAAUUAUCUUAGUUCAGAUUGUUCUAUGAAAUUCUAGAGCAUGAAGAUGAAAUCGUUAGUAAUUGUAAAUUAUAAUGUUACAGUGAAAUAAUAGUCAAAUUUUGCACACACCGCCCAUCACGCUCGGAAAGUCGAUAUUAGUGGAAGAUUUGAAAAAUUUUAUAUAAAAUUAAACUUUUUUUAAGUUUUUUGUAAAUAUUUAUUUUUUUUUAAUAAUAUAAACAAGUAGUAGUAUCUAAUCUAA
rnacentral:rRNA from 1 species